rnacentral:rRNA from 1 species
AGUAAAAGUCGUAACAAGGUCUCCGUUGGUGAACCAGCGGAGGGAUCAUUACAGAGUUGCAAAACUCCCACAAACCAUCGCGAAUCUUACCCGUACGGUUGCCUCGGCGCUGGCGGUCCGGAAAGGCCCUCGGGCCCUCCCGGAUCCUCGGGUCUCCCGCUCGCGGGAGGCUGCCCGCCGGAGUGCCGAAACCAAACUCUUGAUAUUUUAUGUCUCUCUGAGUAAACUUUUAAAUAAGUCAAAACUUUCAACAACGGAUCUCUUGGUUCUGGCAUCGAUGAAGAACGCAGCGAAAUGCGAUAAGUAAUGUGAAUUGCAGAAUUCAGUGAAUCAUCGAAUCUUUGAACGCACAUUGCGCUCGCCAGUAUUCUGGCGAGCAUGCCUGUUCGAGCGUCAUUUCAACCAUCAAGCUCUGCUUGCGUUGGGGAUCCGCGGCUGUCCGCGGUCCCUCAAAAUCAGUGGCGGGCUCGCUAGUCACACCGAGCGUAGUAACUCUACAUCGCUAUGGUCGUGCGGCGGGUUCUUGCCGUAAAACCCCCCAUUUCUAAGGUUGACCUCGGAUCAGGUAGGAAUACCCGCUGAACUUAAGCAUAUCAAUAAGCGGAGGA